rnacentral:rRNA from 1 species
AAAAAAGGUAAGCUACUAAGAGCGAAUGGUGGAUGCCUUGACUGGUAAAGGCGAUGAAGGACGUACUAGACUGCGAUAAGCUACGGGGAGCUGUCAAGAAGCUUUGAUCCGUAGAUUUCCGAAUGGGGCAACCCAAUGUAUAGAGAUAUACAUUACCUAUAUAGGAGCGAACGAGGGGAAUUGAAACAUCUUAGUACCCUCAGGAAAAGAAAUCAAUAGAGAUUGCGUCAGUAGCGGCGAGCGAAAGCGCAAGAGGGCAAACCCAGUGCUUGCACUGGGGGUUGUAGGACUGCAAUGUGCAAGAGGUGAGUUUAGCAGAACAUUCUGGAAAGUAUAGCCAUAGAGGGUGAUAGUCCCGUAUGCGAAAAACAAAGCUUAGCUAGCAGUAUCCUGAGUAGGGCGGGACACGAGAAAUCCUGUCUGAAGCUGGGUCGACCACGAUCCAACCCUAAAUACUAAUACCAGAUCGAUAGUGCACAAGUACCGUGAGGGAAAGGUGAAAAGAACUGAGGUGAUCAGAGUGAAAUAGAACCUGAAACCAUUUGCUUACAAUCAUUCAGAGCCCUAUGUAGCAAUACAGGGUGAUGGACUGCCUUUUGCAUAAUGAGCCUGCGAGUUGUGGUGUCUGGCAAGGUUAAGCAAACGCGAAGCCGUAGCGAAAGCGAGUCUGAAUAGGGCGCUUAGUCAGAUGCUGCAGACCCGAAACGAAGUGAUCUAUCCAUGAGCAAGUUGAAGCUAGUGUAAGAACUAGUGGAGGACUGAACCCAUAGGCGUUGAAAAGCCCCGGGAUGACUUGUGGAUAGGGGUGAAAGGCCAAUCAAACUUCGUGAUAGCUGGUUCUCUCCGAAAUAUAUUUAGGUAUAGCGUUGUGUCGUAAUAUAAGGGGGUAGAGCACUGAAUGGGCUAGGGCAUACACCAAUGUACCAAACCCUAUCAAACUCCGAAUACCUUAUAUGUAAUCACAGCAGUCAGGCGGCGAGUGAUAAAAUCCGUCGUCAAGAGGGAAACAACCCAGACUACCAGCUAAGGUCCCUAAAUCUUACUUAAGUGGAAAACGAUGUGAAGUUACUUAAACAACCAGGAGGUUGGCUUAGAAGCAGCCAUCCUUUAAAGAAAGCGUAAUAGCUCACUGGUCUAGUGAUUUUGCGCGGAAAAUAUAACGGGGCUAAAGUAAGUACCGAAGCUGUAGACUUGCGCACAACUUAGAUUAUUUAAGUUUAGAAUAUGAGAAACUAAGUUAUAUGUUUAGUUAUAUUUUUACUGAUUUUUAUAGAGUAAAGAUAGAAAUAAAACUUAGUAAAAUCAGUAAAAAUAUUCUUAGACUAAAGUUAAGUAGUUUAAGUUGUGUGCAAGUGGUAGGAGAGCGUUCUAUUUGCGUCGAAGGUAUACCGGUAAGGAGUGCUGGAGCGAAUAGAAGUGAGCAUGCAGGCAUGAGUAGCGAUAAUUAAUGUGAGAAUCAUUAACGCCGUAAACCCAAGGUUUCCUACGCGAUGCUCGUCAUCGUAGGGUUAGUCGGGUCCUAAGUCGAGUCCGAAAGGGGUAGACGAUGGCAAAUUGGUUAAUAUUCCAAUACCAACAUUAGUGUGCGAUGGAAGGACGCUUAGGGCUAAGGGGGCUAGCGGAUGGAAGUGCUAGUCUAAGGUCGUAGGAGGUUAUACAGGCAAAUCCGUAUAACAAUACUCCGAGAACUGAAAGGCUUUUUGAAGUCUUCGGAUGGAUAGAAGAACCCCUGAUGCCGUCGAGCCAAGAAAAGUUUCUAAGUUUAGCUAAUGUUGCCCGUACCGUAAACCGACACAGGUGGGUGGGAUGAGUAUUCUAAGGCGCGUGGAAGAACUCUCUUUAAGGAACUCUGCAAAAUAGCACCGUA